AUUGAACGCUGGCGGCAGGCCUAACACAUGCAAGUCGAGCGAGCGGCGGACGGGUGAGUAAUGUUUGGGAAACUGCCUGAUGGAGGGGGAUAACUACUGGAAACGGUAGCUAAUACCGCAUACCAUCAGAUGUACCCAGAUGGGAUUAGCUAGUAGGUGGGGUAACGGCUCACCAAGGCGACGAUACCUAGCGGGUCUGAGAGGAGGACCAGCCCCACGGGAACUGAGCCACGGUCCAGACUCCUACGGAAGGCAGCAGUGGGGAAUAUUGCACAAGGGGCGCAAGCCUGAUGCAGCCAUGCCGCGUGUGUGAAGAAGGCCUUCGGGUUGUAAAGCACUUUCAGCGGGGAGGCGUUACCCGCAGAAGAAGCACCGGCUAACUCCGUGCCAGCAGCCGCGGUAAUUC
rnacentral:rRNA from 1 species